UGGGGAAUAUUGGACAAUGGGCGAAAGCCUGAUCCAGCCAUGCCGCGUGUGUGAAGAAGGUCUUCGGAUUGUAAAGCACUUUAAGUUGGGAGGAAGGGCAGUAAGCGAAUACCUUGCUGCUUUGACGUUACCGACAGAAUAAGCACCGGCUAACUCUGUGCCAGCAGCCGCGGUAAUACAGAGGGUGCAAGCGUUAAUCGGAAUUACUGGGCGUAAAGCGCGCGUAGGUGGUUCGUUAAGUUGAAUGUGAAAGCCCCGGGCUCAACCUGGGAACUGCAUCCAAAACUGGCGAGCUAGAGUAGGGCAGAGGGUGGUGGAAUUUCCUGUGUAGCGGUGAAAUGCGUAGAUAUAGGAAGGAACACCAGUGGCGAAGGCGACCACCUGGGCUCAUACUGACACUGAGGUGCGAAAGCGUGGGGAGCAAACAGA
rnacentral:rRNA from 1 species